GGAAAACAGAGGUUUCUCCCCAAAAAGGAGUCUGAUGCCUUCUCUACUUUAAUCCUUUUCACAAGGCAGUUUAUAAUUAAACCUAGAGCUCUGACAGGUACUCUUGAAUACCAGUCUCUGAUAACUUUAGAAAUUGCACCAUUGUAAUAGAGAGGGAAAAAAAACAAACUUCUAAGACUCUCUUGGAGAGGUGGAUAAUGUUAAACAUUGCCAAUCCUUUUGUUUUUCAGUUAAUACAAGUUUUUUCUUUUGAACUGUUUACAACUUUACCAAUUGAGUAUACUCCUGUGAACAAAAUUUGGAGCAUAUUGCUUUCUCCCUACCUGAUUUCUCCAGAAUUUAGAAAGAUUUUAGGCCCUGCAAGCUAAAGCUCAUUCCUUGUCCUACGGUUGACAAAAAUGUGUCAGAUUGCCAUGCUUCCUCGUCUACAACUAAAGCAGGCAAGGAGAACCCACUGGGUGGUUACAGGAGCACUGAAGACUGAACUCUGACCACCCAUUCUGUUACUGGAUAGUCCUGCACAGUUCCAGGCCGUUGGUGUCCUGAACAAAGAAGUGGAAGUGACACGCACAAACAGCAAAGCAGCAAAAAGUUUAUCAAGCACAAUAACACACUCUCGGAGAGGGAAGAGCAGGCUGACCUCUGAAAAAUGAGAUCAGUUUGGUGUAUUUUGGGUCAUUUUUUUUUUUUUAGACAGAAUCUUGCUCUGUCGCCCAGGCUGGAGUGCAGUGGCACAAUCUCGUCUCACUGCAACCUCUACCUCCCAGGUUCAAGAGAUCCUCCUGCCUCAGCCUCCCGAGUAGCUGGGACUACAGGUGUGCGCUGCCAUGCCCAGCUAAUUUUUUUUUUUUUUUGUAUUUUCAGUAGAGACAGGGUUUCACGACAUUGGCCAGGCUGGUCUUCAACUCCUGACCUUAAGUGAUCCACCCACCUCGGCCUCCCAAAGUGCUGGGAUUACAGGUGUGAGCCUCUGAGCCCAGCCUGUUUUUUUCUUCUCUUCCCCAAACUACCUAAUCUCUAGCCAGCAUGUGCCUUUUGAUUGACAGGUGGGUUGCUCAGUUUCUUGGCCUCUGUGCAUUUGCGUGACACUUCCAUUCCAUAAUUUUAAGUACAUGCAUGAUAUACAGCCCAUAUGCAUGAGCCUUAAGUAGCUAAUCACCAUGGGUAAUUGUGGGGUCAUUUUAAGGAUAUAUUUUCUCUCUAGCGGGCAUGCCCAUCUCUUAGGAGCUGCCCCUUACUGGUUUAGUCCAGAUCUAGCCAACCAUGGGGCUCCUUACUCACUUCUGUAUCUUACUUCUGGUUUUGCUCAACUUCUGCUUCUUGUCUUGCUUCUGCUUUUGCUCACCUGCCUCUUUAUCUUUCUUCUGCUCCUACUCAUUCCACCCUUUAUCCAACCUCCAGUUCCCUCUGCUAUGCUCCUGCCUCAAUUCUUUGUUCUAAAUUUCUUCCUGAGGAACCUGGAUGGAGUCACAACCACAAAGCAAAUCUAACAUUUUCUGCUGACCCCAAAUUUUAAACAAAGCUUGUCUUUCUUAACCAAUUGCAAAUCAGAAAAUAUUUGAGUCUACCUAUGACCCUGUAAGCCAUCCCCUUCAAGUUAUCCUGCCACUUUAGGCCAAAACCAAUGUGUAGCCUUCAUGUAUUGAUUUAUGAUCUUGCCUGUGGGAGGCCGAGGCUGGCGGAUCACGAGGUCAGGAGAUCGAGAUUAUCCUGGCUAACACGGUGAAACCCCAUCUCUACUAAAAAUACAAAAAAUUAGCCGGGCUUGAUGCGGGCGCCUGUAGUCCCAUCUACUUGGGUGGCUGAGGCAGGAGAAUGGCGUGAACGCAGGAGGCGGAGCUUGAAGUGAGCUGAGAUCGCGCCACUGCACUACAGCUGGGGGACAGAGCGAGACUCCGUCUCAAAAAAAAAUAAAUAAAUAAAAAUAAAAACCAUUACCUGCAAGCCAUCAGGGGGUCAGGAUUUAAGCACCAGCUGUCUGGUGCCUUGCAAACAAAUGCCUUCCUUUCCAUAGCUGCAAAACCUCGGUGUGGAUAUCUGCUCUUACUGCACUGGGCUAGUGGACCCCAGCUCGGUUCUAUAACAUGGGGAGCUUCUAAGUUGGUGAACUUGAUGUACUGGAAGGGUGGCAUGCCCAGAGAGGGCAUGGAAGUUAUGUCACCCUCUCCGUACCCCACACCCCCAUCCCUGCCAUAUCUUUCCCCAUGCAUCUCUUCUUCCAUUUGGGUGUUCUGGAGUUGUAUUCUUUAUAAUAAAACUGUUACCAUAAGUAUAGUGUUUCCUGAGCUCUGUGAAUCAUUUUAGGUGUCAUCCAAAAGACCAUGAGAAUG
rnacentral:lncRNA from 1 species